ensembl:lncRNA
CAUGGUACUAUCACUCCCAGCACCUCUACGAUGUGUGUUUCUCUGUUCAGGGACCGUGCACCCAGGAUCCAGUAUCCAGACCAGGUCACCAUCACUCCAGCACCGACACACCUCAGACCUUGGCUGCAGCAGCAGUGGAAGGUGUGAGCCGGACCCCGGGUGAGGACCUCUCCCACUCCGCCACCCCCAUUCUUCGAGAUCUCCACCAGGAACCGCUUCCACCCUCUCUGUGAGACCAAACCAAAUGCCGUGAUCAUCGGAGACUCCAUUGGCCUCCAAAUUCCCCACACAGUAAAAUUCCUAGUGUUGAAUUAACACCCAGAGUGUUUAUAUGAGUCCAAUGGACAUAUAUAAACACUGUAGGGUGUGAAUUCAACACUGUGGGUGUUAAAUCAACACUGGCGAUUUUGCUGUGCAGAUCUAAAUCCGAUCCAUCAUCUGUGGGAUGUGCUGGACAAACAAGUCCAAUCACUGGAGGCCCCACCUCACAACUUACAGGACUUAUAAGUCCUAAAAUAGAAGUGUUUAAAGAUCCUGAAUGGCUCUUUGAGAUGGUGACCUGAAUGGGAGAAAAAAAGGAAAGAUCGAGAGAGGGAAAUAGAAAGAGCGUUGUCAUAUUAGCUGCGUGACUCAGCAGAUGUUUUUUUAUUUUCAGCUCUUUAGUCUGGUCAGAGUCACUGAGGAAGUUUACAGCGUUUAUCCUGGGAACACUGGGAGUGAGGCGGGAAUACAGCCUGGAUGGGACGCCGGUCCAUCGCAUACAUACUCAUUCACAUCUAGGGGCAAUUUACUGUUUCCAAUCCAACAAGUGUCAUGGGAG